CCCCACCCUGCCCACCUCCCUGUUUCAGCCCAGCCUGGGCUCAUUGACUUGGGUUUUGGUGGUGGUGUAACAGUGCUGCUCUCUUGCUCCCUCCAGCCCUCCUUGGUUGUGGGCUCAUGUCCUGGGUUGUCCCUGUGCCCAGGGGGGUGACAGAGAGGUGUGGGGCUGUCUCCUGCCUGCCCUGCUCAGGUCCUGGCUGGUGAGGUCCCUCCCAGCACUCCAAGAUUAUAUUAUCCCUAGGUUAUUAUAGGUAGAUUUUACUGAGGGAGAAAUGUCACACUCAUCUCGGUUCCCUUUACCUCUCUCCUCCAGUGCAAAGAUGUACUGCAGAGACUCUCCAUGGAAGCCUUUCAGACCAGAGAGGAUAAAAUGCCUUGGAAAGACUUUAUUUAAAGUGUGUACUGGUGCACUGCAGAGCUUGUUCUGUAUUAAAUUCCAAGGAUGAAUUCUCUUGUGAGUAGUUUGCUAUGACUUGACUGAUUUUUAAAGACGAUUGUCUGGAGUUUGUUUUUGUUUGGUUUUUUUGGGUUGAGGCUUUUCUCAAGCUCAGGGAAGGCAGGGAUGUGAUCAUGUGGAAAGGCAGUUCUGCUUCUCCUCCUCCCUGCAUGGAAAAGCAUGCCAUGUUUCCAGUCUACUGUGACCUCUGGCAAAUAAG
rnacentral:lncRNA from 1 species